GAUGAACGCUGGCGGCGUGCCUAAUACAUGCAAGUCGAACGAGUUCUCGUUGAUGAUCGGUGCUUGCACCGAGAUUCAACAUGGAACGAGUGGCGGACGGGUGAGUAACACGUGGGUAACCUGCCCUUAAGUGGGGGAUAACAUUUGGAAACAGAUGCUAAUACCGCAUAGAUCCAAGAACCGCAUGGUUCUUGGCUGAAAGAUGGCGUAAGCUAUCGCUUUUGGAUGGACCCGCGGCGUAUUAGCUAGUUGGUGAGGUAAUGGCUCACCAAGGCGAUGAUACGUAGCCGAACUGAGAGGUUGAUCGGCCACAUUGGGACUGAGACACGGCUCAAACUCCUACGGGAGGCAGCAGUAGGGAAUCUUCCACAAUGGACGCAAGUCUGAUGGAGCAACGCCGCGUGAGUGAAGAAGGCUUUCGGGUCGUAAAACUCUGUUGUUGGAGAAGAAUGGUCGGCAGAGUAACUGUUGUCGGCGUGACGGUAUCCAACCAGAAAGCCACGGCUAACUACGUGCCAGCAGCCGCGGUAAUACGUAGGUGGCAAGCGUUAUCCGGAUUUAUUGGGCGUAAAGCGAGCGCAGGCGGUUUUUUAAGUCUGAUGUGAAAGCCCUCGGCUUAACCGAGGAAGCGCAUCGGAAACUGGGAAACUUGAGUGCAGAAGAGGACAGUGGAACUCCAUGUGUAGCGGUGAAAUGCGUAGAUAUAUGGAAGAACACCAGUGGCGAAGGCGGCUGUCUGGUCUGUAACUGACGCUGAGGCUCGAAAGCAUGGGUAGCGAACAGGAUUAGAUACCCUGGUAGUCCAUGCCGUAAACGAUGAAUGCUAGGUGUUGGAGGGUUUCCGCCCUUCAGUGCCGCAGCUAACGCAUUAAGCAUUCCGCCUGGGGAGUACGACCGCAAGGUUGAAACUCAAAGGAAUUGACGGGGGCCCGCACAAGCGGUGGAGCAUGUGGUUUAAUUCGAAGCAACGCGAAGAACCUUACCAGGUCUUGACAUCUUUUGAUCACCUGAGAGAUCAGGUUUCCCCUUCGGGGGCAAAAUGACAGGUGGUGCAUGGUUGUCGUCAGCUCGUGUCGUGAGAUGUUGGGUUAAGUCCCGCAACGAGCGCAACCCUUAUGACUAGUUGCCAGCAUUUAGUUGGGCACUCUAGUAAGACUGCCGGUGACAAACCGGAGGAAGGUGGGGAUGACGUCAAAUCAUCAUGCCCCUUAUGACCUGGGCUACACACGUGCUACAAUGGAUGGUACAACGAGUUGCGAGACCGCGAGGUCAAGCUAAUCUCUUAAAGCCAUUCUCAGUUCGGACUGUAGGCUGCAACUCGCCUACACGAAGUCGGAAUCGCUAGUAAUCGCGGAUCAGCACGCCGCGGUGAAUACGUUCCCGGGCCUUGUACACACCGCCCGUCACACCAUGAGAGUUUGUAACACCCGAAGCCGGUGGCGUAACCCUUUUAGGGAGCGAGCCGUCUAAGGUGGGACAAAUGAUUAGGGUG
rnacentral:rRNA from 1 species